GAUGAACGCUGGCGGCGUGCCUAACACAUGCAAGUCGAGCGGCAGCGAGGGGUGCUUGCACCCUGUCGGCGAGCGGCGGACGGCUGAGUAACGCGUGGGAACGUGCCCCAAAGUGAGGAAUAACUGCCCGAAAGGGUAGCUAAUACCGCAUAUUAUCUUCGGAUCAAAGGAUUUAUCCGCUUUGGGAGCGGCUCGCGUCGGAUUAGGUAGUUGGUGAGGUAAUGGCUCACCAAGCCGACGAUCCGUAGCUGGUCUGAGAGGAUGACCAGCCAGACUGGAACUGAGACACGGUCCAGACUCCUACGGGAGGCAGCAGUGAGGAAUCUUCCACAAUGGGCGAAAGCCUGAUGGAGCAACGACGCGUGCAGGACGAAGGCCUUCGGGUUGUAAACUGCUUUUAUAAGUGAGGAAUAUGACGGUAACUUAUGAAUAAGGAUCGGCUAACUACGUG
rnacentral:rRNA from 1 species